ensembl:lncRNA
GGACUUCCCUGGGCCUGCUAUCUGAGACCUGCUGCUUCCUCCCUGACCUGCAUCCUCUCGCUGCCCCAGACCGGCCCCGCUGCUCCUGCCCUUCGGCCUCGGACCGUCGGAACAUCGUGCAACGGGACUGCUGCCGGAUCCUGGUGUUGAAAAUAAGCACUCUUUUAAAAAUAUGGUGAAAGAAGGGCACACGUAAAGAAUUGAGGAAUUCUGAAAACUGGAACAUUUCAAACACACGAUUAUUUUACUGGUAAUACUUACCUAGAGCAAUUUAAGUGAAAGGGGAAUAAAGGUGCUGACUAAGCUGAAGGCUCCAACUUCCAGAGUGAAACCAGAGAAGACAACCUUUCUCUUGCAACAUGAUAACACCAGUACCCAUGCCAGUUAGAAGAUGAUGGAUCACACCGCUAACUUGGCUGGACUGUUGAAAAUAACUGUAUAGCCUGGAUUUUGCAUCUUCUCAUUUUCAUCUGUUUGGGAAAAUGAAAGGACUGUGUGGGCGUCAUUUUCUUAGCAGCUGGCAUGUCACAGCAGCUGUGAAAUAGUGGGUCUUUCACUGCUGCAGAUUUUUAUGAGUGUGGCAUGCAGGCUCAAGUUAUCACUGGUGAAACUGCAUAGCUAAUGGUUGUGACUAUGUUGACAAAUAGUGUUUUGUAACAGAGAAUUUGCUCUAUCAAGUAGUGUCAUUGUGGUUUUUGUAUCUGUUGUCUUUUCCAUGGAAAUAAACAGCAGGCAAUACCUUCAGACCAAGCUACAUAGUUACUCAACUAUUGAUUUUCUAACCAAAAUUGCCAGGAAAUGACAAAUCAUAUGUGAAGUUUUGCAGAUAAAAUCAGAUACUAACACUGACUACGCCUAACUAAAAAUGUAGUUAUUAAGUUUAAGUUUACCAAGUUCAGAAAGAAUUGCAUUACUAUUGUAACUUUAAAAUUACUCACCUGAUUAUUCUGCCUGGACCUGGAGCAUCCUAUUCACUGUAUGAUACAGAAUGGUGUUUCCUAGUGAAUGUACACACACAACCCACUCACACUCAGUUGGGGGCAUGCAUAGAUGUUGUCCCCCUCUAUCUGGCACAAGGGUAGACUUUUACCCACAUGUGCUGUUCUUUAGACACUCUCUAAUAAUUUCAUAUCAUUCUUAUAUUCUGAUGCCCAAAAGAACAUAACACUCAAAGUGAGGCCAUAACGGUGCAGAACUGAAUGAGACAACUACUUUCCUCAGCCAGCUAGCAGAGCUGUGCCAGAUGAACCUCAGAGUGCAGUCAACACCAUCACUACUAGACACAAUCACUAAUAGACAAU